GACGAACGCUGGCGGCGUGCUUAACACAUGCAAGUCGAACGAAGUGGCGAACGGGUGAUUAACGCGUAAUCAACCUGCCCUUCGGAGGGGGACAACAGUUGGAAACGACUGCUAAUACCGCAUACUGCAGAAGGGGAUUGCGGCUGCUUAGCUAGUUGGAGGGGUAAAGGCCCACCAAGGCGAUGAUCAGGAGCCGGUCUUGGAGGAUGGACGGCCACAUUGGGACUGAGACACGGCCCAGACUCCUACGGGAGGCAGCAGGGGGGAAUCUUCCGCAAUGGACGAAAGUCUGACGGAGCAACGCCGCGUGAGUGAUGACGGCCUUCGGGUUGUAAAGCUCUGUUAAUCGGGACGCGGUACCGGAAUAGAAAGCAACGGCUAACUACGUGCCAGCCGCCGCGGUAAUUC
rnacentral:rRNA from 1 species